AUUUCCAAAUAAAUCCCAUAAAUUCCUGUAAAUUCCCAUAAAUUUCCAUAAAUUCCCGUAAAGUUUCCAAUUUGGAAUAUUUUCAAAAUUCCCCACAUUAAGUUCCCAUGGAAAGCCUAGUUGCGACAGUCUGUAUAUCCUCAGGUAUGUGAGCUUGUUUUAUUCAUUUUAAGUGGGACGCUAGUUUAAAUGCCAAGCGGUGUAGUGUUUAGUUAACUGUUAUGUAUCCCCCCUGUCAGCGUUCUUUUGUUAUCCGAUGUUUAUCUGUACCCGGUUUAUUACCGGACCUGUACUGCAUCUGUCGAUUUGGUGUGGUGGACAGCUGUAUUUCUCCGGUUCCGGGGGGUUUCUGCUGUAUGUGCAGUUGAGGCUGCACACUGUUACCCGGGACAACGCUGCUGUUUUGUUCCUCGUCAAAUUGUUUUGUUUUGUAAUUGUUUAUAUUUGGUUUAAUUUUUUUUUAAUUAUAUCAAGAUUGUUACCCUUCUCUGACACUGCUAAUGUGCUUAUUAGGCCUAUCUCAAUGGAGGAAGGCUUGUGCUGACUCCGAAGUCAGACUGUGGUAAUUAGGUAUUGAAGUUUGAUUUUAUAUUUUUGGGUUUCUCCUGAGUUUUGUUAAAAGUCAGAGAGGGCCGACUUUCCUCCUCUUUCUUGAGCGUGUUUCUGUGUACCGUAUGCUGUCAGUAAUGACACUGACAGUAAUUUCACUGAGCACUGAGUGUGUGUGUGUGUGUGUGUGUGUGUGUGUGUGUGUGUGUGUGUGUGUGUGUGUGUGUGUGUGUGUGUGUGUGUGUGAUUUGGGCACAUGCAUGGUGUGGAUAUUUAAGUCUACUUUUGUUUUAGCCUGUCUUGUGCCGAUCAGCUGCAGCCCUGCAAGAGUUUUGAUUUCUUUAAUUUUCUGCAUCAUUCUGAAAUAUUUUAAAUGAUUGGUGGUUGUAUUAAUAAAUGAAAUGUAUUUUUUGUA